CCGUUGUGAAAUGUCUACUUAAUUGUGCUAACGAACGAGAUCUCUGCCUUGAAAUAUGUGCUGGUCUCGAAAAUAGGUAGGGGGCGCAAAGGGAAACCUUGCCCCCGAGAGGCCAAGCUUUACUUCUUAGAGGGACUGUGUGCGCUCACCAGUACACGGAAGAAGGAGCCCAUAGCA
rnacentral:rRNA from 1 species